rnacentral:lncRNA from 10 species
GAAGCCGAGAGCCCGGGCGCUGGCGUGGUCCGGGCAAUUGGGAAAGCAGUGCCCGGAGCCACGGGCAGGGGAGAUGAAAGGCGGGCGGCGGGCGUGGGCGGUCAGCAGCACCAGCAGACGGAGCCUCAUUUCCAUUAUGAAUCGGUCUCCCUCACAUCUCAAACACCCUGGCUCAUCUCUUCAUCACCCUCAUCCCCUGAUGUGCUUUUCUUGCAUGUGGUAGGUGCUCCAUAGGUGUCUUUGAGAACUGUCACACCUACUGACAGGUCACCCCCUGUGAUUCACCCUCUGCUUUCUUCUGUCACCAGCCAUUCACCAGUAAGUGUAUGCUGAACUCAAAGGUCUCUUUUAAAUGUUCUGUGUGUGUGUGUGGUGGGGUGGAGGUGGAGAAAUGGGCCUUAUCCUUAGUAAAAAUACCAGCUACUGUUUGUCAAGGGCUUGCUGAGGCCAGACACUGGGCUUUACAUCCUUUUGUUUGCUGUUGUUUAAUGCCUGCAAUAGCUCUGGGAAGUCUUUCAAGAAAUCAAGGCUCUGUGAGGACAUAUGAUUUGUUCAGAGUCACCCAGAGUGGAUUUGGACUGAGGCAUAUGCAGCUAGAGCCUGUGUCUUAACCUGGAGCAGAGGACGUAGCCAUGCACACAGUCAGCAUGUCCCUAACCAGAGGGGAAGCUCCUUCCUCUUUAAGGGAAACUUCCCUGGGGUGGAGAUACCUGAGUUGAGUCUUGAAGGAUGGGCAGGACUCCCAUACGUGGGGAAGGGAAGAGAAGUUUUCACAAGAGAAAGGAAGGAAGGAAGGGCUUGGGCAAAUGCAUGGAGAUGAGAUAGUGUGUAGCUUUUUGGGGACUGGGGAUUAUAACUAGAAACCAGAGCAGCUGGUCCCAAUGUACUGCUUACUUGUAAGAGUUACUGAUUAGAAAGCUGGCACCAUGGACUGAAUUGCACCCACCCCUAGUUCAUAGGUUGAGUAUGUUGGACUUUACCCUUAAUGUGGUGGCUUUAGAGAUGGAGCUUUUGGGAGGUGAUUAGGGUUAGAUGAACUCAUGAGAGUAGGGGAUUUUAAGAACAGGAAGAGAUCUCUCUCUGCAUAUGCACUGAAAAUAG